rnacentral:rRNA from 1 species
GACAGAGGUCUCAAGCGUUGUUCGGACUCAUUGGGCGUAAAGGGUGCGUAGGCGGCGCGGUAAGUCGGGUGUGAAAUCUUGGAGCUUAACUCCGAAACUGCAUUCGAUACUGCCGUGCUUGAGGACUGGAGAGGAGACUGGAAUUUACGGUGUAGCGGUGAAAUGCGUAGAUAUCGUAAGGAAGACCAGUGGCGAAGGCGGGUCUCUGGACAGUUCCUGACGCUGAGGCACGAAGGCCAGGGGAGCAAACGGG